rnacentral:lncRNA from 1 species
GUUAAAUGAGGGAUGACUUUAAUGUGAGGGUUCUCAUAUUUGUGUGGGGCAUAAAUAUUUAAUUGGGAGAAGGUUGUGGAGUUUUAAAGUAAAACUGUACAUUUGCUAAACAUGUUUUUUUUUUCUUUCUUUUUAAAGGCAACCAAGGACGUUUAUCUCCAUUAAUCCCAAAAGUGAGAGUUGUUUGUAAAUAGCAUAGCCAAAACAAGAUGGAAUUUACACACACUUAAAUGUAUGUCCCAAUUUAGGGAACGAGUUAUUAAUAAAUUAGUUUACCAUAAGUAGUGCAUUUGGUAACACUGGAUCUCAGUCUGGUGUUACGAAUUUUGUAAUUAGUCUCAUUGAAUACUCUGAACAUUUUAUCAUCUAAUAAACAGGAC